AUAUUUGGCAGCUUGUGUUCAUCACGGUGUUGCAGCGUGUCUCUAUAAAGUCUGACUCCAAGCUGCACUGGACUCAUACUCAGUGAUCCGACUGCACACUGAAGACACCGAACCACAACUCCAGCUGCAAAGCAUGAAGCACAGACGACUGUUGCUUUCUCUGCCUCGCUUACCGACGAUCACGGAGACACUUGAGGACUCAGCCUCACAGGAGUCCACUGUCCACGCCUCCUCUGUCCAGUGCACCCCGAGUUCCCACUCCCCGGAGGACUACAUGGCCAGUAUCCAGGCCCUUGCCCGGCCUGUCGAGGCUCUGAGUUGUGGCCUCCUCAGGCCCCAGAGGUCCCCCAGGUUACGACAGCUCUCAAAGACUCAGAUGAAGCUCGCGGGGUCAGCUUCCCUCCCUCGCAGCUCUCCACGAGCUUUAAGGACGUCCAGACCUUUUACUCCAAACAGCACUGAGGUGUUUUCUCUCAGAUCAGCCAGAGAACGAGACUGCAGGGGCAAAGACCCCAUGGACUGGUUGUUUGGACAAAUAAUGGCAUGAAAAGUGUUGUAACUGGGGAAGAAACAACUGGUCAGCGUGGAGGUGGGACUUUGCUGGAAUAUAAAAAGGCAUAAAGCCUUAAUUCCUGCCUCUGUUUAUGAUGACUGGCAAAAAGUUAUUUAUGAGGAGAAUGAUGAUGAGGACUGAACAACAAGAAAACUGUUAAUAAAGUUUUGCAAGAAAAAUGUAGAGCUGCAGUACUUAUUUCCAUAUAUGGCUUGAUUACACAAGUCAAGAUGUUUACAUUGUUUUAAAGGAGUAAAAAAAAAUAUGGUUUGCAAUAAAAUAAUCAGAAAUAUUGA